GCAGUUGGGAUGGGCACAUCCCUUUCACCACAGAGAGCACGUUGCAGCUUCUCACCACCCAAAUCCUGCCAGUUGUGCCCAAUAUUGUGACAAAACAUUUAAGGGAAUGCAUCUGUAAAGAUACCAGUGCAAGAAGUUUUUUUUUUUUGGAUUAAUAAAGAAUGCACGAAAAGGAGGUGAUGUGGUUACACUGGCUCAAUAUCUAGGCUACUACUGUCAUGAAGUCCCAUCUAUAUGGAGGGAGACUGGAAGUUCAAAUGGUGUUAGUGCGUACUUCUCUUGUCAGUUUCCAGUUUCAAGUUCAAAGUGACUACUUAAAAGUGCAGUUGGUGACACAACUUGUUGGCCAGUACAGUACAAGUCAUGUAUGCUGAUGGUUCUGAAGAAGAGACAAGACAGCAAAGACGUGGCAAGGAACAUCCUUUGGAGGCUUACUGAACUGGUGAGCAUCUCUGCACGGUCUGAGACCUGGUUUAGAGUUGGAUGUAGGAAGUGGCAGAGCAUCCUGCUGGUCUUCAAGUUGAGCAGCUCUUGUCAAAUAUGUGGUAUGGCUGAUGCACUGCAGAGGGAAGUAUGGGAGGCAAGUUCCCACAUCCACCUCAUACACAAUGACUGAACAUUAUUGUGUUGUAAUCCUGGAAGGGUAAUCCUGUAGCUGUGGCUGUUGCUGAGCCGGUGUCCUACAUGAGCCAUCAUAUUUUACUGUAAAUGCAAAAAAACUGGCUCUAUUUUUACUUACCUGUGUGAAGUCAUCCUGGCUCUAGGCCAAGAGAUGGCUGUUCAUGUUAACACAAGCAGGGCUAAAAUUUCUGUGAAUGAGUCAUAGAUUUCCGUUGUCUCAAUGAUUUACUGUUUGAUUUACUUGAACCACCUAAUAUUUUGGCAAUUAAGUACCAUCAGGAAAAAAAAUACAGAAAACGACUCAGGCUGUUUUUUCUGAGAUGACUACUGAUACAACUAAAGGGCCAUUAUCCUUGUACAAUUGGACCUGUGAAUUGAUAGCAGUAACAGCAAUUUAAUAAACUGUUCUUGUUUUCAGAGAGGUCAGGCCAGACUGAUUUUACCUACUUUGUAUAGUGCAGGAGUGAUUUCCUCACCUCGAUGUUGUGCCAGUUCUACAUGCAGCAGUCCUGCAACUACAGCUGAAGAAAGAGAGGAGUUGUUCUUUUUUUUGUUUUAAGGGACUUAUGUUAUGAUUGACUUCAUCUUUUGCCUUUUAUGAAAAAGAAAAAAAAAAAAGAUAAAAAUAGAGGACAGGCACUGAUGCACAGAGAACAUAACAGGAAUAUUUCCUAAGAAAAACCACUGAACUGCAGCAGUCUAUGUACCAGAAGGAUUUUCAGUGAUCCACAGUUGUAUGUUGAAAUUUUCUCUCAUGUCUCCAGCAGAGAUGGAGAAAGAGACAGAGAAAAGAGACAUCCUUGAAAUUUGAGAGUCCUGCAGUUCAGAGGAAAGCUGUUAGGUGCCUGAUUCCAGUUUUCAUAGCAGUCCAAGAGGGCAAUUUGGCAUUCCUCAGGGUCAUGGCAGCAAUAAAAAGAGCAUAAGGAGAAAAGAAAUAGAUAUUUAAUACCUUAAAAAAUCAUAGUGAUGUUGGCACAUACGUAUUUUC